rnacentral:rRNA from 1 species
UACGUAGGGUGCAAGCGUUAAUCGGAAUACUGGGCGUAAAGCGUGCGCAGGCGGUGAUGUAAGACAGUUGUGAAAUCCCCGGGCUCAACCUGGGAACUGCAUCUGUGACUGCAUCGCUGGAGUACGGUAGAGGGGGAUGGAAUUCCGCGUGUAGCAGUGAAAUGCGUAGAUAUGCGGAGGAACACCGAUGGCGAAGGCAAUCCCCUGGACCUGUACUGACGCUCAUGCA